AUACGUAGGGUGCGAGCGUUAAUCGGAAUUACUGGGUGUAAAGCGUGCGCAGGCGGUUUUGUAAGUCAGAUGUGAAAGCCCCGGGCUCAACCUGGGAACUGCGUUUGAAACUACAAGGCUAGAGUGUAGCAGAGGGGGGUAGAAUUCCACGUGUAGCAGUGAAAUGCGUAGAGAUGUGGAGGAAUACCGAUGGCGAAGGCAGCCCCCUGGGUUAACACUGACGCUCAUGCACGAAAGCGUGGGGAGCAAACAGGAUUAGAUACCCUGGUAGUCCACGCCCUAAACGAUGUCAACUAGUUGUCGGGAGAGGAGACUUUCUUGGUAACGCAGCUAACGCGUGAAGUUGACCGCCUGGGGAGUACGGCCGCAAGGUUAAA
rnacentral:rRNA from 1 species